rnacentral:misc_RNA from 1 species
UCUCCGUAGGUGAACCUGCGGAGGGAUCAUUACAGAGUUCAUGCCCUACCGGGUAGAUCUCCCACCCUAUGUUAUUAUUACUUUAUUGCUUUGGCGGGCCGUUAGGCUCCGGCCCGACUACCGGUCCCGGCUGGUAAGCACCCGCCAGAGGACCCAAAACCCUGAAUAUUAGUGUCGUCUGAGUACUAUAUAAUAGUUAAAACUUUCAACAACGGAUCUCUUGGUUCUG